rnacentral:rRNA from 1 species
ACAGCAGUAGCCGCGGUAAUUCGAAGGGGGCUAGCGUUGUUCGGAAUCACUGGGCGUAAAGCGUACGUAGGCGGAUACUUAAGUCAGGGGUGAAAUCCCGGGGCUCAACCUCGGAACUGCCUUUGAUACUGGGUAUCUUGAGUCCGGGAGAGGUUGGUGGAACUCCGAGUGUAGAGGUGAAAUUCGUAGAUAUUCGGAAGAACACCAGUGGCGAAGGCGGCCAACUGGCCCGGUACUGACGCUGAAGUGCGAAAGCGUGGGGAGCAAACAGGAUUAGAUACCCCCGUAGUCCCUGUCUCUUAUAU